UACGAAGGGGGCUAGCGUUGUUCGGAAUCACUGGGCGUAAAGCGCACGUAGGCGGAUCUUUAAGUCAGGGGUGAAAUCCCGAGGCUCAACCUCGGAACUGCGUCUGAUACUGGGUGGCUUGAAUCCGGGAGAGGGAUGCGGAAUUCCAGGUGUAGCGGUGAAAUGCGUAGAUAUCUGGAGGAACACCGGUGGCGAAGGCGGCAUCCUGGACCGGCAUUGACGCUGAGGCGCGAAAGCCAGGGGAGCAAACGGG
rnacentral:rRNA from 1 species